rnacentral:lncRNA from 1 species
GCGAGGUGGUACUAUGUUUUUCUUGAUCCAAUAGGUCGGUGGAAUAUCCCGAGCGAAAGAGUCCUGAUUUGGCUCCAACAGGGGGGCGGGCGCCCAGGCUACCAGGGCGGGCGCCCUGGGCCUGGCCCAGUUUUGCCUCCGCUUCGGUCUCGUGGCUUCUGGAGUCUUCUAGAUGAUGUAAAAUUGCGCGGUGCGUUGAUAUCUCUAUGUAAUCCCGACAUGUAGGCCUUUCUUCCUUAUUUCUGAUAACCCCCUGCAGAAACAGAUAAACAACAAAACUCGUGGAAUUCUGUCAGAUCAAACCCUAAUUCUAGGUGAUGGUUGCAUAUUGGUCCUUUCUCUUGUUUAUUUGAUGAUUAAAAUUGAUACUUAAGAACCGUCA